rnacentral:rRNA from 1 species
UACGUAGGGUGCGAGCGUUAAUCGGAAUUACUGGGCGUAAAGUGUGCGCAGGCGGCUUCGCAAGUCGAGUGUGAAAUCCCCGAGCUUAACUUGGGAAUUGCGCUCGAAACUACGGAGCUGGAGUGUGGCAGAGGAAGGUGGAAUUCCACGUGUAGCGGUGAAAUGCGUAGAGAUGUGGAGGAACACCGAUGGCGAAGGCAGCUUUCUGGGCCAACACUGACGCUCAUGCACGAAAGCGUGGGGAGCAAACAGG